GGUAUGUCAGUAUGUGAUAUGUGAUCAACCU
rnacentral:piRNA from 1 species